UACGUAGGGGGCAAGCGUUGUCCGGAUUUAUUGGGCGUAAAGAGCGUGUAGGCGGCCAUACAGGUCCGUUGUGAAAACUCGAGGCUCAACCUCGAGACGUCGAUGGAAACCGUAUGGCUAGAGUCCGGAAGAGGAGAGUGGAAUUCCUGGUGUAGCGGUGAAAUGCGCAGAUAUCAGGAGGAACACCAGUGGCGAAGGCGGUGCUCUGGGCCGGAACUGACGCUGAGGAGCGAAAGCGUGGGGAGCAAACAGG
rnacentral:rRNA from 1 species